AUUGAACGCUGGCGGAAUGCUUUACACAUGCAAGUCGAGCGGCAGCGCGGGGGCAACCCUGGCGGCGAGCGGCGAACGGGUGAGUAACAUAUCGGAACGUACCCAGUCGUGGGGGAUAACUAUCCGAAAGGAUAGCUAAUACCGCAUACGACCUGAGGGUGAAAGCGGGGGACCGUAAGGCCUCGCGCGAUUGGAGCGGCCGAUAUCGGAUUAGCUAGUUGGUGAGGUAAAGGCUCACCAAGGCGACGAUCCGUAGCUGGUCUGAGAGGACGACCAGCCACACUGGAACUGAGACACGGUCCAGACUCCUACGGGAGGCAGCAGUGGGGAAUUUUGGACAAUGGGGGGCAACCCUGAUCCAGCAACGCCGCGUGAGGGAAGAAGGCUUUCGGGUUGUAAACCUCUGUCCUUGGUGACGAAACAAAUGACGGUAGCCAAGGAGGAAGCCCCGGCUAACUACGUGCCAGCAGCCGCGGUAAU
rnacentral:rRNA from 1 species